UUGAAAUAUUAAAGGUUAACACCAUGAGGCUGCAAAGGUAUAGGGAAUGAAAAAUUAAAUUUAUUGGCAGAAGCUCAGUUUUGUUUACAGGAAGUUUUUCAGGAAAAAUGGAUCAGUUCGGAGACACAUGACAACAUAUCUUUCAGAGGAGGUGAAUACCUAUACCCUUGAAGUAUCUCUCCUAGGUUACGAGGACAGGGAAAGUCAGAAAAUUGUACCGUACACGGAUGUACUGUACUCCAUGGUUG